UCAGUCCGUCCAUGGCCACUGCUCAGCGCAGCACCACCCCGUCCUCCCUCGUCAGCCGCCGCCGAUCUUCUCGCUGGGGUGGAGCAGUAGGGGAUCCCGCCAGAUCCGACCUGCAGGCAAAGGGCGACGGCGGGGGCGCUUGAUUCGAUCCUGCGCCACAGGUCCGUGCAGGAGAGAGAGGAGGGAGAAAGAGAGAGCAAAGAGGAGUGGCUGAUGACGAGAGGAGGGAGAAAGAGAGAGGAAAUAGGAGAGGGAGGCUCGGCAGCGGACGGGACAGGGUCGCCGGCCGGUGUCGGCCUGCGCCGGCGAGUUCGCUCGCCCAGCUGCCAAAUAGGGAAAGGCGACGGGACCGGCAUUCGGGGCGGCGGCGGCGGCGGGACUGCAGGAACUGGCCGAGGUGAUCCUCGUCAAACAAGCGGGCGGCAGCAAGAUUUCUUCAUUGGUUGAUUUGAUUUGGGGCUGAUUUUCCCCUGGAUUCCUUCCUCUUAUAGUUCCUUUCCAACUUGUUGUUCAUGGCUUGCUUCCCAACCACAGGUGCUCCCCACGGUGAGGAACGGACGCGCUCAACGCCUUCCUUCCCAACCAGAUAUGAGAAAGAAGAAAUAGGACCAAGAAAAUUAGUUGCUCAUAUAUUCAUGUGUCGUGCAGAGAAGAAACCGAAUGGAGAACUUGGUAUGCCGAGUAAUGUGCAGGUUGCUUUUGUCCUCUCAUCUGCUGUUUGGUCUUCGUCUAUUGCUCUGCUGGCUCGUCAUCACCUUGGUUGGAGAUGAACACUCCUAUAUCGCAAUGAAAGGCAAGGACAAGCUCCUGUGACUAAAUACCUAGCAAAUCACCGUGCCUAGGAACUCUCGUCGCAAGCUCUUCACUUCGCCUUCCAAAACCAAGGGAACUACAUCAUCUGCGGCUGUGCCUAAAGAUCCUACCCAAACUGCAGAAACUGCUUUUGCUGGAGAUGUUGUUGACCCUGCAUCCAAAACAAAUGAAACUAAGCAAGAUGCUGCUGCUGCAGCUACUGAAGAUGUGAAGAAUGUGCAAUCUGAUCAGACUAAUCGAACAUAUAAACCCUGCUGGGCUACCUGCCCAGCGAGGGCACUUCCGUGCGCUGCUGCUUCAGGCCGUUUGAUAUUUUUACCGUACUGUGUUUUUUGAUGCUGGCACUCAGUCAACCGGUCGUUCGUUUUGUACGUUGCUGGAUGAUUUUCUAAUCACUUCAUUUUUUUUCCAGCUGAGAUCUGCUUGCAGUUUACUAAAUUGUUACCAGACUUCAAAUGUACUACCUAGCAGACUAGCAAGUGUAUAUGAUGACUCCUUUUAUCGUUGAUGAAGGAAUUGGGAUUUCUUUAAGGGAAAUGAUAACAAUGGUGUAUGAAAUGGUAA